UUAAGCGACUAAGCGUACACGGUGGAUGCCCUGGCAGUCAGAGGCGAUGAAGGACGUGCUAAUCUGCGAUAAGCGUCGGUAAGGUGAUAUGAACCGUUAUAACCGGCGAUUUCCGAAUGGGGAAACCCAGUGUGUUUCGACACACUAUCAUUAACUGAAUCCAUAGGUUAAUGAGGCGAACCGGGGGAACUGAAACAUCUAAGUACCCCGAGGAAAAGAAAUCAACCGAGAUUCCCCCAGUAGCGGCGAGCGAACGGGGAGGAGCCCAGAGCCUGAAUCAGUGUGUGUGUUAGUGGAAGCGUCUGGAAAGGCGCGCGAUACAGGGUGACAGCCCCGUACACAAAAAUGCACAUGCUGUGAGCUCGAUGAGUAGGGCGGGACACGUGGUAUCCUGUCUGAAUAUGGGGGGACCAUCCUCCAAGGCUAAAUACUCCUGACUGACCGAUAGUGAACCAGUACCGUGAGGGAAAGGCGAAAAGAACCCCGGCGAGGGGAGUGAAAAAGAACCUGAAACCGUGUACGUACAAGCAGUGGGAGCACGCUUCGGCGUGUGACUGCGUACCUUUUGUAUAAUGGGUCAGCGACUUAUAUUCUGUAGCAAGGUUAACCGAAUAGGGGAGCCGAAGGGAAACCGAGUCUUAACUGGGCGUUAAGUUGCAGGGUAUAGACCCGAAACCCGGUGAUCUAGCCAUGGGCAGGUUGAAGGUUGGGUAACACUAACUGGAGGACCGAACCGACUAAUGUUGAAAAAUUAGCGGAUGACUUGUGGCUGGGGGUGAAAGGCCAAUCAAACCGGGAGAUAGCUGGUUCUCCCCGAAAGCUAUUUAGGUAGCGCCUCGUGAAUUCAUCUCCGGGGGUAGAGCACUGUUUCGGCAAGGGGGUCAUCCCGACUUACCAACCCGAUGCAAACUGCGAAUACCGGAGAAUGUUAUCACGGGAGACACACGGCGGGUGCUAACGUCCGUCGUGAAGAGGGAAACAACCCAGACCGCCAGCUAAGGUCCCAAAGUCAUGGUUAAGUGGGAAACGAUGUGGGAAGGCCCAGACAGCCAGGAUGUUGGCUUAGAAGCAGCCAUCAUUUAAAGAAAGCGUAAUAGCUCACUGGUCGAGUCGGCCUGCGCGGAAGAUGUAACGGGGCUAAACCAUGCACCGAAGCUGCGGCAGCGACACUGUGUGUUGUUGGGUAGGGGAGCGUUCUGUAAGCCUGUGAAGGUGUACUGUGAGGUAUGCUGGAGGUAUCAGAAGUGCGAAUGCUGACAUAAGUAACGAUAAAGCGGGUGAAAAGCCCGCUCGCCGGAAGACCAAGGGUUCCUGUCCAACGUUAAUCGGGGCAGGGUGAGUCGACCCCUAAGGCGAGGCCGAAAGGCGUAGUCGAUGGGAAACAGGUUAAUAUUCCUGUACUUGGUGUUACUGCGAAGGGGGGACGGAGAAGGCUAUGUUGGCCGGGCGACGGUUGUCCCGGUUUAAGCGUGUAGGCUGGUUUUCCAGGCAAAUCCGGAAAAUCAAGGCUGAGGCGUGAUGACGAGGCACUACGGUGCUGAAGCAACAAAUGCCCUGCUUCCAGGAAAAGCCUCUAAGCAUCAGGUAACAUCAAAUCGUACCCCAAACCGACACAGGUGGUCAGGUAGAGAAUACCAAGGCGCUUGAGAGAACUCGGGUGAAGGAACUAGGCAAAAUGGUGCCGUAACUUCGGGAGAAGGCACGCUGAUAUGUAGGUGAAGCGACUUGCUCGUGGAGCUGAAAUCAGUCGAAGAUACCAGCUGGCUGCAACUGUUUAUUAAAAACACAGCACUGUGCAAACACGAAAGUGGACGUAUACGGUGUGACGCCUGCCCGGUGCCGGAAGGUUAAUUGAUGGGGUUAGCGCAAGCGAAGCUCUUGAUCGAAGCCCCGGUAAACGGCGGCCGUAACUAUAACGGUCCUAAGGUAGCGAAAUUCCUUGUCGGGUAAGUUCCGACCUGCACGAAUGGCGUAAUGAUGGCCAGGCUGUCUCCACCCGAGACUCAGUGAAAUUGAACUCGCUGUGAAGAUGCAGUGUACCCGCGGCAAGACGGAAAGACCCCGUGAACCUUUACUAUAGCUUGACACUGAACAUUGAGCCUUGAUGUGUAGGAUAGGUGGGAGGCUUUGAAGUGUGGACGCCAGUCUGCAUGGAGCCGACCUUGAAAUACCACCCUUUAAUGUUUGAUGUUCUAACGUUGACCCGUAAUCCGGGUUGCGGACAGUGUCUGGUGGGUAGUUUGACUGGGGCGGUCUCCUCCUAAAGAGUAACGGAGGAGCACGAAGGUUGGCUAAUCCUGGUCGGACAUCAGGAGGUUAGUGCAAUGGCAUAAGCCAGCUUGACUGCGAGCGUGACGGCGCGAGCAGGUGCGAAAGCAGGUCAUAGUGAUCCGGUGGUUCUGAAUGGAAGGGCCAUCGCUCAACGGAUAAAAGGUACUCCGGGGAUAACAGGCUGAUACCGCCCAAGAGUUCAUAUCGACGGCGGUGUUUGGCACCUCGAUGUCGGCUCAUCACAUCCUGGGGCUGAAGUAGGUCCCAAGGGUAUGGCUGUUCGCCAUUUAAAGUGGUACGCGAGCUGGGUUUAGAACGUCGUGAGACAGUUCGGUCCCUAUCUGCCGUGGGCGCUGGAGAACUGAGGGGGGCUGCUCCUAGUACGAGAGGACCGGAGUGGACGCAUCACUGGUGUUCGGGUUGUCAUGCCAAUGGCACUGCCCGGUAGCUAAAUGCGGAAGAGAUAAGUGCUGAAAGCAUCUAAGCACGAAACUUGCCCCGAGAUGAGUUCUCCCUGACUCCUUGAGAGUCCUGAAGGAACGUUGAAGACGACGACGUUGAUAGGCCGGGUGUGUAAGCGCAGCGAUGCGUUGAGCUAACCGGUACUAAUGAACCGUGAGGCUUAACCUU
rnacentral:rRNA from 1 species